GUGCCAGCAGCCGCGGUAAAACGUAGGUGGCGAGCGUUAUCCGGAAUUACUGGGCGUAAAGCGUGUGCAGGCGGGCUGACAAGUGGUGUAUGAAAUAUCCCGGCUUAACCGGGAGGGGUUAUGCCAGACUGUCAGUCUUGAGUGCGAGAGAGGAGCGUGGAAUUCCGGGUGUAGUGGUGAAAUGCGUAGAGAUCCGGAGGAACCCCAGAGGCGAAGGCGGCGCUCUGGCUCGCAACUGACGCUCAGACACGACAGCAUGGGGAGCGAACGGGAUUAGAAACCCCAGUAGUCC
rnacentral:rRNA from 1 species